rnacentral:rRNA from 1 species
AACGAACGCUGGCGGCAGGCCUAACACAUGCAAGUCGAACGCUCCGCAAGGGGAGUGGCGCACGGGUGAGUAACACGUGGGAACCUACCUUCUGGUACGGAACAACCAAGGGAAACUUUGGCUAAGACCGUAUACGACCUCCGGGUGGAAGAUUGAUCGCCGGAAGAGGGGCCCGCGUCCGAUUAGGUAGUUGGUGAGGUAACGGCUCACCAAGCCUUCGAUCGGUAGCUGGUC